CAUUCUUUUCUUGAUGGUGGGCGAUAAACAACGUACAAUUCUACAUGAAGUAUAUUUUAACUUAAUUUGCAGAGGAGGAUGUAAAACAUGAUGGGAUUUAUAUCUCUAAAUUUUAUUCUACCACUUUAGAAUUAAUCAGCAUAUCUUGAUGUUAAGUGCAUAAUACAAAAAUGAGCGAUCCUGUUUUACUACAAAUAUUUAUCAUUUACCUAUCAUUAAUCAAAUACUAUCUAUGAAAUUAUCAAUUUUUGAGAUAACGGAUAAUUAUGUAGUUCAUAUUUCCAGAAUACCAUUGGAAACGUUUGCCUCAUAGAAAUGGACAAUUAUAAUCUUGGAAUAAAAGAGAGACCAGGUGUCGUAUAAAUGUAAAUAUAUGUAGACGUUGCUUAAAGGAACGCUCAUAAGCCAUUACAAUAUACAGAAAACGAGAGGAAUCUCAUAGUCCAAACCAGAUAGAAAGACCAGAGUCACAAUUCCUCAACAAAACCCGAGGAAGACUGGAUUGAAAAUGCUCGGAGCAGAGAGAUUCAUUAUGACGAUAUAUCCAAAUAUUGCGUUGAUCUAGGGACAUUUAAGGAAACCAUUAACACACGAUGCAUGCAUUUAAUAUGAUAUGCGAUCUUUUUUUGCUAAAAUUCAAGAGUCUUGUUCGAGCCGUUGCUUGGUUAUAAAAAUGUUAACUCUGCAUUUCAUCAUAAAACGGUUUUGUAUGAUCCUAAGAGCUAUAUGUUGAAGAAUCCUUCUAAAUACUUAAGAUUAUCUGAAACCUAUAACAGGAACAAUGGAUAAAUGGUGUUCAACAUUUCUUUAAAACCAAACUCUAUCUAUUUCACACCUGUAUUCUUAUAGAAAAGAAAAACUUUUAUUUUUUAUUGAAUUAAAAUGUUAGUGAGAUAUAAAGAUAUCUAGACAAUGGAUUCAACAGGGAAUCAAUUGUGAAAGCGUUUGCAUAUAUUUUAAAAGAAAACACAUUUAAGAGAAUAAUUUUAAUUUCCAAAACCUUAAGAUGAUUUACUUUAAUACUUAAUGACCACACCAUGAUAUAGGUUUAUUCUGUCCAUGUCACAUUUUACAGCAUUGUAUUUCGUUAUUGCUUAUCAAUGUAUUUAUUUAAUGCAAUACGUUCUUGGUGAGUUUUUUUAUGUUAAAAAAAACCAAAAAAACCAAACAAUCAAACAAACUCUUACUAAAUGAAUGGAUUAUAAACCUCAUCCAAAAUAUGUUAAUUUAAAUACAUUCAGGAAAUGUUGAGUAGAUAAUCAACUGGCUUAUUAAUGUGAAGGAGAGCCACAGGCUCAACAAUUAAAAACUAUGAUAAAAAGAACAACAGUUUGUUACAUGUACCACAUUGGAUACAUUUUACUUAAGGAAAUAAUAAGCUUGAAGUCCUUAUAAUGAGUUGACAUUUGUUUAGAUCCGAAGCAAAAAAAAUAGACUUUGUUUUUAAAAGAAUAGAUGAAAAGGAAAUCGUGACAAUGUGUGUAUGACUAGAUUGAAUUUAACAAAAGACAGUUGGUGAACAUUUAAUGUGUAAUGAUUGCUUUUAAAACUAGAUCCUACAUUAUAAAGAACGUGUUUUACAAGUUUUAAUUUUUUUAAAUUUCUUUUUUUGUUUGUAUGUUAGUUUUUUGUUUUUGUUUUUGUUUUUAGCUUUGUUACCCAUUCAAUACCUUAAACACUGUUUUACUUUGUUAUUGAUUCGUGCCAGUUUUGCUGUGCGUAUUUUGAACAGAUUGCCUUGUUUAUGAAAUCAGUUGCCAUUUUUUUCUAAUUAGAAGCGAAAAAAAAUGAUUUUAAAAGAAAGGAUGAAAAGGAAACUGUGACAAUGUAUGAAUUAUUGCAAGACUAUAUUUGAUCGGAUAAAAGACAGUUGAUGGACAUUUAAUAUGUAAAUAGUUUUUUUUUUCUAAUUGAACCAGUUGGAU